rnacentral:rRNA from 1 species
GACGAACGCUGGCGGCGUGCUUAACACAUGCAAGUCGAACGGAAAGGCCCUGCUUUUGUGGGGUGCUCGAGUGGCGAACGGGUGAGUAACACGUGAGUAACCUGCCCUUGACUUUGGGAUAACUUCAGGAAACUGGGGCUAAUACCGGAUAGGAGCUCCUGCUGCGUGGUGGGGGUUGGAAAGUUUCGGCGGUUGGGGAUGGACUCGCGGCUUAUCAGCUUGUUGGUGGGGUAGUGGCUUACCAAGGCUUUGACGGGUAGCCGGCCUGAGAGGGUGACCGGCCACAUUGGGACUGAGAUACGGCCCAGACUCCUACGGGAGGCAGCAGUGGGGAAUAUUGCACAAUGGGCGGAAGCCUGAUGCAGCAACGCUGCGUGCGGGAUGACGGCCUUCGGGUUGUAAACCGCUUUCGCCUGUGACGAAGCGUGAGUGACGGUAAUGGGUAAAGAAGCACCGGCUAACUACGUG